CCAGCAGCCGCGGUAAUACGUAGGGGGCGAGCGUUGUCCGGAUUUAUUGGGCGUAAAGGGCGUGUAGGCGGCCAGGUAAGUCAGGGGUGAAAGACCGCAGCUCAACUGCGGGGGUGCCUCUGAAACUGCAUGGCUGGAGUGCUCUAGAGGGCAGUGGAAUUGCCGGUGUAGCAGUGAAAUGCGUAGAGAUCGGCAGGAACACCAGUGGCGAAGGCGACUGCCUGGGGAGUAACUGACGCUGAGGCGCGAAAGCUGGGGGAGCAAACGG
rnacentral:rRNA from 1 species